GACGAACGCUGGCGGCGUGCUUAACACAUGCAAGUCGAACGAAGAGCGACGGAAGCUUGCUUCUAUCAAUCUUAGUGGCGAACGGGUGAGUAACGCGUAAUCAACCUGCCCUUCAGAGGGGGACAACAGUUGGAAACGACUGCUAAUACCGCAUACGAUCUAAUCUCGGCAUCGAGGAUAGAUGAAAGGUGGCCUCUACAUGUAAGCUAUCACUGAAGGAGGGGAUUGCGUCUGAUUAGCUAGUUGGAGGGGUAACGGCCCACCAAGGCGAUGAUCAGUAGCCGGUCUGAGAGGAUGAACGGCCACAUUGGGACUGAGACACGGCCCAGACUCCUACGGGAGGCAGCAGUGGGGAAUCUUCCGCAAUGGACGAAAGUCUGACGGAGCAACGCCGCGUGAGUGAUGACGGCCUUCGAGUUGUAAAGCUCUGUUAAUCGGGACGAAAGGCCUUCUUGCGAACAGUUAGAAGGA
rnacentral:rRNA from 1 species